rnacentral:rRNA from 1 species
UCUCCGGAUUGGCUUUUGGGAGCCGGCAACGGCACUUGAUUGCUGAGAAGCUGAUCAAACUUGGUCAUUUAGAGGAAGUAAAAGUCGUAACAAGGUUUCCGUAGGUGAACCUGCGGAAGGAUCAUUAUUGAAUAUUCUUGAUGGGUUGUAGCUGGCUCUUAGGGGCAUGUGCACGCCUAUCUUGACUUUAUUCAUCCACCUGUGCACCUUUUGUAGUCUUGGGGGUUGAGAGCAGUCAAUAGUCGGAUGGCUUAUAGCCUUUUCGGAUGUGAGGAAUGCUGAGUGCGAAAGCAUACAGCUCUUCUCAGAAUGACUCGCAAACCUCUCCCUCGAGUACUAUGUAUUCAUAUACCACAUAGUAUGUUGUAGAAUGUGAUCAAUGGGCCUCUGUGCCUAUAAUAAUCAUAUACAACUUCCAGCAACGGAUCUCUUGGCUCUCGCAUCGAUGAAGAACGCAGCGAAAUGCGAUAAGUAAUGUGAAUUGCAGAAUUCAGUGAAUCAUCGAAUCUUUGAACGCACCUUGCGCUCCUUGGUAUUCCGAGGUGCAUGCCUGUUUGAGUGUCAUUAAAUUCUCAACCCCUCUAGCUUUUGCGAGCUAUGAUGGGGCUUGGAUUUGGGGGUUUUGCGGGCCUUUAUUGAUAAUAUAGGUCAGCUCUCCUGAAAUGCAUUAGCGGAGCCGUUUGCAGUCCCGUCAUUAGUGUGAUAAUUAUCUACACUGUGAUGAUUGCUCUCUGAUUAGUUCAGCUGCUAAUCGUCCACUAAUGGACAACACUUAAUGAACUUCUUGACCUCAAAUCAGGUAGGACUACCCGCUGAACUUAAGCAUAUCAAUAAGCGGAGGAAAAGAAACUAACAAGGAUUCCCCUAGUAACUGCGAGUGAAGCGGGGAAAGCUCAAAUUUAAAAUCUGGCGGUCUCUGGCCGUCCGAGUUGUAAUCUAGAGAAGUGAUGCCCGCGCUGGACCGUGUACAAGUCUCCUGGAAUGGAGCGUCAU